GUGCUUGCUUCGGCAGCACAUGUACUAAAAUUGGAACGAUACAGAGAAGAUUAGCAUGGCCCCUGGGCAAGGAUGACAGGCAAAUUAGUGAAGCGUUCCAUAUCGAA
ensembl:snRNA U6 U6 spliceosomal RNA